rnacentral:rRNA from 1 species
GAUGGACGCUGGCGGCGUGCUUAACACAUGCAAGUCGAACGGGAAUUACUUUAUUGAAACUUCGGUCGAUUUAAUUUAAUUCUAGUGGCGGACGGGUGAGUAACGCGUGGGUAACCUGCCUUAUACAGGGGGAUAACAGUCAGAAAUGACUGCUAAUACCGCAUAAGCGUACAGAGCUGCAUGGCUCAGUGUGAAAAACUCCGGUGGUAUAAGAUGGACCCGCGUUGGAUUAGCUGGUUGGUGAGGUAACGGCCCACCAAGGCGACGAUCCAUAGCCGGCCUGAGAGGGUGAACGGCCACAUUGGGACUGAGACACGGCCCAGACUCCUACGGGAGGCAGCGGUGGGGAAUAUUGCACAAUGGGGGAAACCCUGAUGCAGCGACGCCGCGUGAAGGAAGAAGUAUCUCGGUAUGUAAACUUCUAUCAGCAGGGAAGAGCUUGACGGUACCUGACUAAGAAGCCCCGGCUAACUACGUGCCAGCCGCCGCGGUAAAAC